rnacentral:lncRNA from 1 species
ACAAUCAAUCUGACAGUUUGACAAUACAACAUCAAUGUUAUCCUUUAAAAAUGAAUCACAGAGUUAAUAGUCUUCAAUAUUCUCAACGAGUAUGAAUGUAUGGGGUCAAAUGUUCGACAAAAUGCCUCAAAGAGUUUAAGUCUGAGGCGGAGGUAGGGUAGCGAGACAAGGGCAAAUAGGAAAAGUGGCGUGCGACAUGAAGAAAAGAGAAUUCUAAAUCUGUCUCUUUUUGUGUUGAGUGGCUUAAAUUAAUAACCUUUUUAUGCCUGAUGUAGGUCAUAAGCCCAUUGAUUGAUCCUUGAUGUUGCUCUGUGCAGGAAAGUAGCAACUCUGAGAUGUGUCCAGUGCUGGCCAGCAGUAGCCGCCUUAUUAGAUUGAGAGUGGUGCCAGCAUAAACAAUGGACAGAUGGGGAUAAUUUGAAUAACGGCAGCUCAAAGCCACAAGAUGAAUACCAUCGUAUCCAUUUUAAGGGGUUUGUUUGUUUAAUUAGAUGUCGUCUGUCUAAGUUUAAUAAUAAUAAUGUUAGUGCUGGUGUGUUUAUGGUCAAGACACAUUUGACCAAUUCAAACCUGCCUUUUUCUAGUGUAAGGAUUGAAUAAUACUAAUAAAGUGGGGUUGCACCAAUCUUCACAAAAUCAAACCUUGUGACCCACAGUCUUUUGUAGCCAACUCAAUGUUCUUUAUUUUUCUUCCUUUUUGUUGAAAAUUUUGGAUCUUUAUAGCUUGGCAUCUUAUUGUCUUUCCUAUGAAGAUGGCUGAGUGGGUGUGUGCCCAAAUGAGCCACACUAUCCUUAUUUUGUGCAUUUUGUCAAAUGAUUAGUCACCAAACCACCAUUCUUUCACUUGAAAUCAUUCAAAGGCAAGAAAUUACUAUUAAGUCACAAGAUUUCAGUCAGGAGCAAGUGGGGUGAGGAGUUAGUUUGUCUUCCCAUCCCAGUACCUCACCUCAAUGACUGACAUUAUCAUCACCAUCUCCAUCCCUUCUAACAAUAGUUAAAUGUAAGAUUAAACACCCCGACUUCUUACAAAUUUUAGAGUACUCGUGGAAUUUGCCUAGUUCGUGUCGUGCGAUGUUUGGUCAAGUCCUAUAACGAGCGAAACCCUCGUUUUGGGUUGUUUUUAUGCUUUAAUUAUUGGAUGUCAAUUAAAAACAAAAAGUUUAGUAAUUUCAUAAUAAUCCAUUUUGCUCAGACAGACCAUUUUGAAAUUUGAACACCUCUCAGUUUCCCACUAUUUCCAUGAAAAAUAAUCAAUGCACUCUGUUUUUCUUUGAGGUGUCAUUAAUGUUGGCAUAAAUGCAAAGCACACAUAGUGGUUCAAGAGUAGAUAAGCUGCUAUAAAUGCAUGAGAGUUCCCUUCUUUUUUUGCUUUCAAACCUAAAAAUUCAUAAGUAUGUGAAAACAAGUUGGUAUCAUUAUUAAAAAAAACUAUAGGAAAUUCAGGCCAUACUACUAGAGGGAUAACAUGAUAAUACGUUAUGAUUUAGCGAUAAAUGAAAUUUGAAAUGCACUAAUUUUCAUGAUAUAAACAAAUGAAACACUACUCUAAAAAAACAGGCAAAUGCUACUAUGUUGUAAGAUGUUUGUACCUCAAAGUAGUUAAAAGUAUUAACAUCUGUAUUCAAUGUCCUAAGUUCGAUUUCCUCUUUCCUAAUACCGCUUAUAUCAGAAAAGACUACCAUAUUAGUUGGGGUCUAAAAUUGUAGGGUUUGUGUUUGUAGGCUUUAUCACACAUUUGGAGGAUGUAAAAUAAUAUUCUGGUUUUCACUAGCAAACCAAACACUACAGUCCCUGCAGUACAUUCUGUCACAAGCUCCAAGUAUGAAUUAAAGACAUCCAUAUAUACCAGAUGGGGGCCGGCCAAAUUGCAAGGGCGACUAUAAUGUGUGUUAAACUCACAUGUGGGCAGUUGAGAAUUUGUGAUUUGGCCCCACUAAAAGUUAGAAACUCAUAAUUACCCUAAAAAUCAACUUUGAUUAAGAUUUUUUGGGCAUUCUAACCCUAAAAAUCAACUUUGAAAGUAAAGGGUGUGUAUAAUUGCAGGACCAAGGAAAUGAAUUAUGUAUAAUAUGGGGCAUGCUACAUUGGAUUAUCAUUAUUAAAGUGAGCCCCCAAAACCCCAGAUUACGAAAUGAUCAAAAAUUCAAUUAAAAUACUCCACCAUUUGCGCCAAAAAGCAAUAAGACCCAGUUACAGUUGGCAUGCAAUGCAAUUUCUAGCUAAUUUUCUAAUGGGUGAUGGUGCUCUUUUUUUAAUGUCAAAAUAAAAAGGGAGUUUGCCUCAAAGACGACAUACCUUUUCCUGGAAUUGGAGGUGAGAGAGAGAGAGAGAGAGAGAGAGAGAGUGGGUGAGAGAGAUCAGAGACUCAGCUGGGAGUGAGAUUCUUCUUCUGAUGUGAUUCAUUCAUUCAAAAUAAAUAAAUAAAUAAAACGAUGGCAUUGGUUUGGAUCCCCUUUUUCGAAAUUUGUUCAAGCUGAGCUCUAUUUGUCCUCUCUGGGUGUAUUUGGAUUCCUUCUCUCCUUUCUCUUUCAGCACUCUUUCUUUCUCUUGUUGCUCAAUUGUUCCUUAGAGAAUAUCACAACAACAGCCAAACAAUUUUCAUCCUUUCAUUCCAUCAACCAUCCUUUCUUGCUGAAAGCUUCAAGUGAAGUCAACCCCAUUCCCCCAUUUGUCUCUUCCAGCUUCUUCCAAGUACUAUUUGCUGUUCAUGGAUCUGGGUUUCUGAUUCCCUUAUCAAAACGGUUUCUUUCAUUGAAGAGGUAGAUAGAUACAGAAAUUAACUGAUGGAGAAAAUGGCGGCAGCAGCAGCAGCAGCUGAGAAGCCCAGCUCCAAAGGACAAGCAUGGUUAGUUCCAUUUUUACUGCAAACAAUCUCAUUCAAAACCUCACCUUUUUCAUUUUCUGCUGGGUACCCAAAUCAAAAGCAAUGCAUCAAUUAACCAAAACUCUCUUCAAAAUGUGUUGUUGGCAGGUUCUGCACCACUGGGUUACCAAGCGACAUUGUGGUCGAAGUCGAUGACAUGACCUUCCAUCUCCACAAGGUCAUUACAUCAAACACAUUGAGAGCACACAUUGCAUUUCUCUUCAUCUUUCACUGACCAAUUUCAGCUAACAUUUUUCUGCUUCUGGUUGUUUCAGUUUCCUCUCAUGUCAAAAAGCCGGAAGCUUCACAACCUGAUCACAGAGCAAGAGACGAACCCAUCGCAAACCCGCCAACAAAUUGAAGAGCAGGAUGAGAACGAUGACGAAAUCGAAGAAGUUCAGUGCCAAAUAGCUCUCUCUGACUUCCCCGGCGGCUCAGAGACCUUCGAAAUAGCAGCUAAGUUCUGCUAUGGCGUCAAGAUCGACUUGAGCUCCUCCAAUGUCGCGCCUCUGCGCUGCGCAGGAGAGUAUCUGGAAAUGACCGAAGAGUACUCAGAAGAUAACCUCAUUUCCAAGACCGAGAGGUUUCUCUCUCAGUCUGUGUUGAAGAGCUUCAAGGAAUCGCUCAAAGCUCUCAAGUCCUGCGAACGAGUGAUGCCUCUUGCAGAGACUUUGGGUAUUACGCAGACGUGCAUAGACUCCAUCGCCUCCCGCGCCACGUCAGCCGAUCCCACCCUGUUUGGCUGGCCGGUUAGCGAAGCACCCAAUGCGAAUACAAAUGCGAUUUCUUCUUCUUCUUCCACCAAACAGCAGAUUUUGUGGAAUGGGAUCGACGCCGGUGGCGGCGGUGGACGAAGAAGAGGCCUUUCCAAACACGCAGAUUCCUGGGUUGAAGAUUUGGUGGUUUUGAGCUUGCCUCUGUUCAAGCGAUUGAUUUCCGCCAUGAAAUCUGGAGAUCUAAGCUUGGAGAUGGUGGAGACUUGUUUGAUGCAUUACGCUAAGAAGUACAUUCCUGGAAUUUCAAGAACAAAUCGAAAGCCUCCAUCUUCUAUCUCCGCCGUCACCGCCACCACAACCUCAUCGUCUUUAGCUUCGGAGAGUCAACAGCGAGAGCUUUUGGAGACGAUCAUCUCCAAUCUUCCAUUGGAGAAGAGCUCCAGACCUUCCACCGCUACUCGUUUCCUCUUUGGACUGCUGAGAACCGCCAACAUACUCAAUGCCUCCGAGGCCUGCAAAGCCGCGUUGGAGAAGAAGAUCGCUUCGCAGCUCCACCAAGCCACCUUAGACGACCUUCUCAUCCCGAGCUACUCGUACCUCAACGAGACUCUCUACGACGUCGAUUGCGUCGAGAGGAUCUUAGGUUACUUCUUGAAAGGCUUGGAUCAGAGAAACACAGCCGGAAUCGGAGAAGACGACGGUUCUGACGGUGCUGUCAGAUCGCCGACGUUGAUGCUCGUCGGAAAAUUAAUCGACGAGUUUCUCUCCGAGAUCGCCUCCGACGCGAAUCUCAAGCCGGACCGAUUCUACAAUCUCGCGAUUUCUCUACCUGAACAAGCUCGGCUCUUCGACGACGGUCUUUACAGAGCCGUCGAUCUCUAUCUCAAGGUCCGUACACAAUUUAUACAUUAUAAACGAUUUCAUAAAUUAAGCUUGAGAUGAUUUCAAUUGUGAAAUCUGAAUUGUAUUUUCAUAUCUGUAGGCUCAUCCAUGGAUAACGGAACCAGAGCGCGAGAAGAUCUGCGGAAUUUUAGACUGCCAGAAGCUCACGCUCGAGGCUUGCACGCACGCGGCGCAGAACGAGCGGUUGCCUCUGCGCGCGGUGGUGCAAGUUCUGUUCUUCGAGCAGCUCCAGCUCCGGCACGCCAUCGCCGGAACUCUGCUCGCAACCGACGUCGCUCCCCCGGACUCGGGCAGGCCAUCGGUCCUGCAACGCGAACGACAGGGAGAGGAGGAGGAGGAAGAGGACGACGCGGAGGCACGUGCGGAGGAAGAUGGGGAUAAUGUGGCACGUGCAAAUAAUAGUGGGGGCGGCACGUGGCGGGCGGCAGUGAGGGAGAAUCAGGUGUUGCGCUUGGAUAUGGAUAGCAUGAGGACGCGGGUGCACCAGCUGGAGCGGGAAUGCUCCAACAUGAAAAAGGUGAUCGAGAAGAUUGAUAAUCCGGGUCAGCCCAGGAGGGACGGGUCGGUUUGGAAGGACUCGUUGAGCCGGAGGUUCGGGUGUAAGUUCAAGACCCAAGUGUGUGAUUCGCACGAAGCCACGGCCGUUGAUACUAGGAAAGGACGGCGACACCAUCAUCAAUAAUAGAGCUUCUCGCACCGGAACAUGUUGUUGAUGGCCACGUAAAUAAAUGAAACCGCUGAGUGGGUUGGCGAAUUCGGAACUGAGAAGAACACAAAUUGAGGGACACAUGAUAUGUGAUUAUUGUUUAUUGGGCGAGAAAGCAAAAGCGUUUACAAAUAGUGCAAAUGCAACCUUUUUUCUUCGUUCCUGCUUUUGCUUUUUAGCUUUUUAGCUUUUUUCUGGAAUCAAAGUUAAAAAGCGCUUUGGGUAAGACUUUUGGAAGCUCCAGAUAUAAUGACUGCCUGUGUCUCUCAGCUGGGGGUUUUGGUAAGUUGAUUGAUAUGAUGAUGCAAGGAGUCAAGGACAAAGGGUCCAAAGUGAUUAAAAGUCAAGCUCCAGAAUCUUCAUGAUGAUUGCUUUGCUUAAAAGAUUAUGUGUGGGAUGGUUUCAAUUUAUGUCAAAGAAACAAAAACAUGCACACUAUUUUCUUUGGAAGGAUGGAAAGUUAGAAUGAUUGAUCAUAUAAUCUCAAAGUCUUGGUUUUGUAUCCAAAGAUAUAAAAGUUGUAAUGGGAGUUUCUAUGAUUAUUGGGGUUUCGACUUUAAGAAAAAGCUACAAUCUUUUAACCCUAAUGAAAUCUUGGCAAUACAAUCUCUAGAGUCUAGACCAAGUAGAGAAAGAUGGUGCUUCGGAUUGUACUUGGUUAGCUUUUGCAUGUCACUUUGAAGAAGUUCACUACCUUUGGUAAUAAUCACCGUUUUUGUUAUCUUCUUGAUCUUUGAGGCAGAUCGGUUGGGCUUUGCCUAAGCCUAGGUGAGUUUCUGGUAGGCUUGUUCUAUUGGGCUCCUUCUCGAUGACAGAUCGGUUGGGCUUUGUCCAACCGAGCAAACAUUGGAGCCGGGGGGGUUGGCUUCCACCGCCCAAUUGGUCAGAAGUAAAUCGAAGGUUACCUUUUUGCCGCCCAAACCAUUACUUUCGGAUCAAUCGCAAGUGAAAGCGCAGGAAAGAGGUCCUGAGGUCUGAUUGAAGACAUGUUAGUGCAAAAAGGAAGGGCGGUGAAAAAUGCUCCCUCAAUUGGAAGAGAGAGUCUAUAAAUAGGAUAGAAAUCAACGAAGCAGAGGCCCAACACCAACUCAACCAAUCAAGCCUGAAGGCUGCUCAAUGCACACUUCUUAACUUUUUGUCUUGUAGUUUUGUAGAUUUUAGUGCUUUCCUUAGUAUUCCACGUAGAGAUAUCAACAAGAACUUUGAAAACGUUUUAAGUUCUUGAACACCAUCCAAUAAUGUAGUGGAUAUGUCCAAUCACUUACUUCAAGGUAAUGGCUCAAUUCUCGUAUUCAGCUUCUUGUGAGAGCAACCAUGAGAGGUACUCAGACUCCUGGCUCAAUUGGUCUGGUGGAGCCACCCUUUUUCGUACGAGCAUUUCUAUAGUGGGGUACUUCCUCUUAGGGCCACCCCUUGGCCUUGACUGGAAUUUCUCAUCAGUCUCUUCAAAAUCCCCCUGCAAUUCAAAGCAAUAAUGUCCCACAUAUGAUAUGAACUCAUAAUGUGGCAUUGCCUGGAAAGAUGCUUAUCCCAAAAUCCAACAUAUGAGAGGGUAUUGAAUGAUCUAAGAAUAAUACUCACAAAUGCAUAGACAUGACGCCCGGUCUUCUCAUGCUUGUUUGCGAAUCUCAUGCCACAACCCGAAAAGCUACAGACAAAAGGUUUAUGUUCAAGGUGUACUGCCUUGACAUGUUGAUGGAGAUUUGAUUUCUGAAAACGUAUAAGCAAAAACAGAAAAGGAAACAAUAAAAAAACUAACAAUGGCAAUGCAAAGAAUGAAAAACUAUUUUUUCCUUCUUUCCAAAAUUUGUUCUUUGUGUGUACAUAGUAUACAACCCAUUAAAAGUCAAGUCAGUAACUCACAGUUGAAAACGUGCGAAGACAACCCUUAUAACUGCAUUUAAUUCUCUCCAGUCUCCACUGAAGCACCUCCCCUUCAUGCGUGCGGAGAUGCCAUUUGAUGUUCCUUCUCAGCUUCUUGUUCCCACGUAUCUCAUAGCCGGGCGACUAUACCCGGGUUUCACCAAAUUUUUUAAAACACAGUAUAGCCGGGCGGCUAUACUCGGUUAUCUCUAAUUCUUUUACAAAUAGUACAGCCGCGGCUAUAUUCAUUUUUAAAUUUUUAGAAAAGAAAUGGUAUAGCCGCUCGGCUAUACUCGGCUUUUUAAAUUUCUUAAAAAUGGUAUAGCGCGCGGCUACAAUCGUCUUUUAAUUUUGUUUAGUAUAUACUUUUUUUUCCCAAGAAAAUAUUUUAGCCGUGCGGCUAUACCCAGUUGGUCCCAGUUUUUUAGAAAGAAUUAGUAUAGCCGCGCGGCUAUACCCGGUUUCCUAAUGUUUGAACAAGAAAUAGUAUAGCCGACCGGCUAUACCCCAUUUUUCCAUUUAAAAAAAAAGUAUAGCCGGUCGGCUUUACUCGGAUCUGCUAUUUUAUCUUUUUUAAUAUAAGCACUAAAUCCCCCACAAGAGGGGACUAGUGGUUUCUGUGAUUUAUAAUCUAGUAAUAGGCCAUUACGAAUAUGCAAUAUGAGUAAUAGACAAUCCGAAGCGCGCGCCGUUCGGCUCCUUUCAAGGGGUGCCUCACUCUCUUUCAGGUUAUUCUUGAACAACUAAUGCUAGAGUUACCGUCUAAAUUUUUUUAAACAAAUAGCCACUCGGCUAUACAUGUUUCAAAAUUUUUAAGACAAAUUAGUAUAGCCGCUCGGCUUUGCUCAGUUUUUUCCCCAUACCUAGUAAGUAAAUUUAGGUUUUACCCAUAAAAAAAAUUUCACUUUUGGAAAAAGCCAAAGCUUUUUCAAAAAAGACAGAAAAACAUCUCAACUUUCAAACCAAAGACAUGCAAAUGUAAAGGAUUCUUUAGGAAAUCAAAAAAUAAAUAAGGACAAUUUUGUCCAUUUUAGCUUCUUUUAAAAAAUUUCUCUCUCCUUUGGGCUUUUUCAAAGUCUCCCGAUACAUCUCAUUCAACUCCAUCUCCUCCAGAAGAUACACAGUAAUUGGGAAAGAUGAAACGCAGCGUUUCGACUACGCAAUCGCUGAAUUGAAGACGGUGUUUAUGGUUUCUUGAUGACGGGGUUUGGGUGCAAAAUAGAACCUUUAACGAGAUCCGGGUAAAGGUCUGGCCCGAAUUCACAGUAUUCUGCAGGCAAACUGCACACCGCACAAUACAGUACUCGAAUCGGUUGGGUUUUCCCGCCAUCAGAGCUCAACCUCAAGCCCUUCUCUCUCUCUCUCUCUCUCUCUCUCUCUCUCUCUCUGUAAUUGGGAAAGAUGAAACGCAGCGUUUCGACUACGCAAUCUCUGAAUUGAAGAUGGUGUUUGUGGUUACUUGAUGACGAUGAGAUAUAUAUAUAUAUCUUUGUUGGAUUACGGGUGUAGACGCCUUAGGCCCAAUACGGUGCGUUUCAUCAAUUUGGCCCAUUCACCAUAUAAGGCUAUCAUGUAUCUGUUUAUGUUUUCUUGGGCAGGUAGGUAGGCACACAUGCUUGAAAUCAAUGAGAAAUAUUUUUGAAAUAAUGUGCAUAUAUUCCCUAAACUUUUUCUUUCAACAAUGGGUGGGAGAGGAGCUUCAAGCUUGAAACAUCUUUUAAUUUUACAAAGAAAAAAAAAUAGUAAAAUAAGAGCUAGUUGAUAUAUAGUUCAUAAGGUUUAAACUACGACUGAUAUGGAUUAUGUUUAUACAUUUCCAAAAUUGAUGUAUUUUCAAAUAAAGAUUGCAAAACACGAUUAUGGAAAAACACAAUAAAAGGGAGUAAUGCUUGAUAAGCAAAUUCUAAUUUAAUUUACAGGCAGAAUCACAACAAAUUCAGGGUAACCAACUGCAUGCAGGCAAAUAUGCAGACAAUAGUAACAUAUUAAAAUCACCAUAUAGCAGUUUGUCAACCCAUGUCUAAUUGUGCACAUGAAAACAAUGGAAAGUAGAGUAAAUUAGCUUAAUAAGCCAGGUAAAAUUCUAUGUAACCCUUUCAUAAUUCGGUUAGAAUUUGGUGAAGAGACUUAUAGCUCAAGUGAUUUAUGAGUAUUUAUCCCAAUAUUUGAGGUCCUAGGUUGGAUUUCUCUUUCCCUAUAAAAAUCCAGUUGGGAUUUGAGUUGCCAUAGCUGAUCACUCAACUUUGUCACACAACUGUUAGAUGCAUGAACGAAACGGGAGAGAUUAAUUGCAGCAGAGUCAAAUUCAAAAACAAAGAAACUGAAGGGCUUUUCCUAAUGAUGACAAAUUGACAAUUGGCUUUGAAACCCUGACUAAACCCAUGCAUUUGCUGCCUUAAACCAAAUAUAAAAAAUAAUAUUUGGGUUUUGUACAAAAUCCAAAUAAAAUUUUAGAUGCCAAAAUAUACUAUCCAACUCAUUAACCAAAAGCUUGAGCCAACUUGAUAUCCCUCUUUAACUCUCAAUUAAAUCCCAAUUUCUUUGCUUUUCCUCACCCUCAAUUGCUUCUGUUUGGUUCAUUUUCAGUGAGAACAAGCAAUCAUGGAAAAUAGGGAUCAGGUUGCAGCUCAAAACUAUGCUUGUGCUUCCUGCAAGCAUCAGAGGAGAAAAUGUGACGAGACCUGUGAAAUGGCCCCAUACUUUCCAGCCAGCAGGUACAGUGAGUUCCAAAAUGCUCAAAAGAUCUUUGGUGUGAGCAACAUCCAAAAGAUCAUGGCCAUGGCUGCACCUGAUCAAAGACAGGCAGCUGCUGAAAGCAUUCUCACGGAAGGGAAUGCAAGGAAAAAUGAUCCUGUGCAUGGUUGUCUUGGCAUUAUCAGAGGUCUCAAUGCCCAAAUUCAGGGACUUGAAAGAGAACUCCAUAUUAUGAAACAGCACCUAGAACUUUGCAAGGAGAAGGAAGAACUUGAUGGGAAAAAAAACCAAUCAAAAGAAGAAGACUUGCAGCAUGAUCAAUCUGAUGGUCUCAAUUUCCCAUCACCAAUCCUCCCUGAUCUGGUAAGACUAUGAUCUCAAUUUUUCUCUGCCUCCUUUUUUUUUUUUUUUUGGUUUAACCAAAACUUCAUACAUAUACACAUAAAUAACUGAUAUGUGAAUAUUUAUUCUGUGUAAUUCAGCCCUCUCAUGUCACGGCUGAGAUGAGAAAAUAUGAACAAGGAUACAAUUACUGGUCAAUUUUGGAAGAUGCAGAAGAGGAGGUCUUUGACAUCCGGCUCAUAGAACCAGUAUUAUUUGAAUCCAAUCUGAAGGGGAAUGCAAGUUCUAGUGGAUCAGGAAAAUCCAGGUUGUGCAAAACUUUAUACUUUGUUUGAUAAUGUUGAUUUGUUGUUUUUGAUUUAUAUAGAGAUGGAGAAGAGAAAGAGGAAGGGGAGAUAGCUAGGUGGGAGGAGAGAUAACAUUGUUGAUAAGGAGCGCGCGAUGAGAUAGAUUUUAAAAAAAUAAAAAUAAAAAAGAAGCAUUAUUUGUAAUCCCCCAAUGCUCCCGCGCUAGCGUGGGGCGUUAAUAGGGUUAUAUAUUACCUAAUUGUCAUUUGUACUCCCACUCAUGACACACACUUCACGUGCAAAUAGCUUCAUCUUUUAAAAGUAAAAGCUUAAAAGAAAUUUUGGAAUCCAUUUUUUGUCAUUUCAUAAUGUGCUCCUUCGUAAAUCACAUUUCUUAUAAUAUAAUUGAUUCUCACAAUAAUUGCAGAAUAUUGAUAAUCUUAGUAAUAAAAGUGAUUAAUGUUUUGCGCCAUUGGUAAUAAGUUUUGAAUUAAUCAUAUUUUUUCUUCUAUGAAAUUGUAGUGCUGCUGCCUCCAAGGCCAAAGAGAAGCAACCUUCAGAGAGUUAGCAAGAUAAAACUACAGAAGAUGAGGCUUGACCAUCCACAUGGAAAUGGUUGCACAUCAAGAAUGAAUUUUACUUUGUGAUCAAAUUUAGUUAAUUUGAGUUGAAAGAUCAUUAGACUUUAUGUAAACCUGUUUUCUGCGUAUCGUGCAUUUUGAGAUUAUCAGUUUUUUCAGUACUUCGUUUUUGCUUCCAGUUCCUCCAACAGCAGAAAUCAAAGACAAGAUAGGAGCGAUGGAUGCAUCUAGUGUUUUUUAAUAUUCUUGCAAAAGCUCAAGCUGGUAUUGAUGUCUUUUACUACUCCUAAAUUAUUCUUUCAUGGUUUACUAAUUUGAAUGUAGUAUCUUAAUAGAAGGAAGAUAAAUUUGUACAGGAAAACAGAUGCAUAAACACAAAUCAGCAGAAAAGUAACCACUCUUGUUUAAAAUGACGAAUGCGGAGCUGUUGCGGCGCUGUUACAUCUUUAGCAACGGUCGAAACCGCCGAGAGGCUAUACCGUUAUACUCGGUUUUUCCAAUUUUUUUUAAAAAGAAAUAGUAUAACCGCACGGCUAUACUCGGAUUUCACCAAUUUUUUUAAAGAAACUAAUUUUUUCCAAAUGGUAUAGCCGUACGGCUUUACUCGGUUCUUUUUUAAAUAGUAUCGCCGUGCGGCCAUACUCGGGUUUUAUUUUUUUUAAAAAGAUAUCGUAUAGCCGGGCGGCUAUACUCGGUUAUUUCUAAUUUUUUUUUAAUAAGAAAUAGUAUGGCUGCGCAGCGAUACUCGGUUUUCAGAUUUUUUUAAAAAAGAAAUAGUAUAGCCGCGCGGCUAUACUCGGUUAUCUCUAAAUUUUUUUAAAAAGAAAUAGUAUAGCCGUUCGGCUAUACUCGGUUAUCUCUAAUUUUUUUAAAAAAAGAAACAGUAUAGCCGUGCUCUAAUUUUUUUAACUUACUCGGUGAUCGCUAACUUUUUUUAAAAAGAAAUAGUAUAGCCGCGCGGCUAUACUCGGUUAUUUCUAAUUUUUUGCUGCAUAGCGAUACUUGGUUUUCAGAUUUUUUUUUAUAAAAGAAAUAGUAUAGCCGCGCGGCUAUACGCGGUUAUCUCUAAUUUUUUUAAAAAAAGAAAUAGUAUAGCUGCUCAGCUAUACUCGGUUUUCAUAUUUUUUUUAAUAAAAGAAAUCGUAUAGCCGCGCGGCUAUACUAGUUUUCACCUAAUUUCUGGAAAAGAAAUAGUAUAGCCGCGCGGCGAUACUCGUUUCCCCCCUAAAAAUAGUAUAGCCGCGCUGCUAUACCCUUUUUUCAAUUUUUUUAAAAGUGUAAAUGAAAUAGUAUAGCAGCACGGCCAUACUAUUUAUUAAAAAAUCACAAUCUUGCAUUUUUCUUCCGACAAGUAAGAAAUAAUCUUAGCCUCUCAAAUUCUUUCAUAGUUAGUAAAAUACGGAAUGGAAAAAAUACUAAUAAAAUACAUACGUGAUUUAUUCAGCAAAGUUUUUGCAAAUUUGCUCCAUCACAUAAACUUAAAAUUUGCUAAAAUGUCGUAAUAACAAGACAAAAGAUUUAAUCAAGGGAACAGUAAAUAUGGAAGAAAACCAAGAAUAAAGAAAUUGAUGAAAUGAUAGAACAAAAUUCGUGCAUUCUUUAAUCAACUAAUCAGCAUUUAUUCUAAAUAACAUAAAACUUGCUUAUUACUAUACCUACAGUUAUGCUCUAAACUAUCGUAUGUCACUUCAAUUUAUGCUCCCUUGUUGCUCACGUUAGCUACAAUCUUGCUUAGGAAUUAUUGGGAUUUCCAUAGAUGGCAAAAGGGUCUCCUUAUAAAUUGUGGCUUUAGCUUCCACUUCCACCACCAACAAACUUGGAGAAUCAAAGAGAGUUCAAGAAAAUAAUCAAAGAAAGUGAGGAGAAAUGGACGCUAGUGUGUUGAGGGCAGUGGUUUUGAUGAGCAUGCUUGUGCUUUCAAUAGCCCAAGCUGAUAUGAAUCCUUCCUAUACCAAUGCGGGUCCAAAUGACAAUCCUCUUGGUCAAGUUGAUGAUGUAUAUCCUCGCUCCAAUACAAAUCAAGUGGUUCCAAAUGGCCAUAUUAUUUCUUGUGGUUUAAAAUGUGCGACAAAGUGCCUGAUGAACCCAAUAUGUCUUGGCAUGUGCAUGAUCAGAUGCAAACAUAGGCCUUCAAAUGUUGUGUAUAAGUGUACACAUAAUUGUGCCAACUCCAUUGCCACCACAAGCACUUCCAAUUCUGGUAAUACGCAUAUUUAAUUACUCUUUUUCUAUAACUUUAUCAUGUUUGUUUGAAAUUAUAUUUUUAAUUAUUGAUAUUCUUUUUGCUUUUGUUUUAUUUGCUUGAUUGUAGAUAACCGCUAUGUGGAAGGUUUCGUGGAUUCAUGCUAUGAGAGUUGCUCCAAGAAUAACCAGAUAAAUUAAUUGAUCGGCUUGUUCCCUAGUUCAACGCAGAUGUCUUGCUGCAGAAAAUAAAUGACCAAUUAUGUCUUUCAUAUCAACUUCUUAUUAAAAACAAGAAUAAGAUUUACGAAAUUACUACUUAUAUUGCUUUAUGGGCCCUGUUUUUUGGGUUCAGCAUGCCGUACGUGUAGUUUCUUCGUUUAUUUCUCUUUUCAUUCAUUCUAGCCAUACGGCCAAGAAGCUCAAGCUUGAGCACCUUCAAACCAUACCCGUACGUUAUCAAUCAACUAAAGAUCCAGACAAACGACAUCUAUUCUAUAAUAUAAUCAAUUUAAUUAGCAUCGUUUGCUGUCAUCCCCACUGAGUUAUACAUUAAUAGAAAACCUCAAAAAAACCACACACAAGGAACUCAAAAUAUUGUUGCCAUUAUCAAAUCAAUAAUGUUAUUUGGAUCACAUUGUUGAUCACCUCUAUUAAAGAGGUGAGCCCCGUCAGUAUAUGUAGGACUCACCUGUAUUCGAGAGAUAAUCAGCAAUGCAGUCUAAAUAGCAACACCAACAACCUUAUCAAAUAGUAUAUCGUUGGAACAUGACGAUCAUAUAAAAAUAAAAUUAAUAUAUUAAAAAGGUGUAUAGACAAACUUGGGGAUGAACACAUAAAAGAAUUUGGAAAUCGGUUUUUGUGGAUUGAAUUUUCUAUAAGUAAGGACUGGAAAACAAAGAAACUAACAAUUUGUAAUUUUCUAUAUUACGCUGAGUUAAACUACAGAAUCGAGUAGCUGGACUUGUUGUUUUUAAAGAGGCCUGACAAAAUGUUAGAUUGUAAUGUUCAUAUAGAAUUAAUGAAACUUAGCUUUUAUUUAAAAAUAAAAAGAAAGAACAAGAUUUAUACAUAUAUACAUAUAUAUAUUGGAAAAGUUGUGAAUCUAUGAUGCUAUUUUUACAUAUAUGUUUUGCUUGUCUAGAGAAAUAACUACAAGGAGAGGUUUCACACACACACACACACAAUUAAAAAUGCCAUGGGGGCAAAAUAAAAGCAUAGCAAGCCAACUUCACUAGGCACAUAAUUGUGCCGACAAAAAGACUUAAUCAAAUGGACUCGAUGCAAAUGAUCGUCAAAGAAAAAGGCUCCAUUACAGUCAAGAUCAACUAAAUCAAUUAGUCACAGCUCGUUACUUUCCCAUCAAGUUUGAAUUCCCUUUCCGUAAAUUAGAUUAAUUUAAAAUAAUUUAAACUAUCUCUAGUAUGAUUUAUUUCAAGAAAAAUGAUAGUCCGUUCCGUCCUGUUUUUUAUUUGGCGUGACAAAGUUCAAAGUCACAACAAAUUAGUGACCAACCUAAUGUUGCCCUAAAUCUCUAGAAAUAGAAAAGGAAAAUCAUAGUUAUAUAUGAUUUUACUUGGAACGAGGGUCCAAGUGAUGCAACAGUCAAACCCUGGAACCUUUAAAAAACAGUUAGGAUCCGAAACCUCUCCACCGUUUUACACUCUCCUCUGACAGGAGUGGGUGAGCUCAAAUCAAGGUGGACCCACACAGUUAAACUCCCAGCAGACACAUCAACAGGUACAGUGACAUAGAUACACCCAAAGGGCUAAAAUUGGUCAUCCACAAUUUUGUUGAACAGUUAUAUUUUGGCCUUUGAUUUUGAAGUCUGUAAACUGCAGGUGCCAGCUUUCAAAUCUGAAGCAAUUGAGAGCAGAUAUCAAAUUAUGGGGAGGAUGGAGUAUUUGGCUCUGAAGAGUAGUGAUCCAGACACCAAUGAGUUGAUAAAUUCAGACAUCAAUGAUCUCAAGAUUGCAGCCAAGAAACUCAUCAAUGAUGCCACUAAGCUUGGUGGGUUGGGUUUUGGGACUUCUUUUCUCAAAUGGGUUGCCUCCUUUGCUGCCAUGUGAGUCAUCUUAUUUGUUUCCUUGAGGACCGAGUUGCUUUAAGCUUUGUUUUAUUGGCUGGAAUUGGGAAAGUGACACUGAUGUGCGCCCUUUUUGAUUUUCUAAUUGUUAAAAAGGGAAAAGUCAAGAAAGUGAUUUUUUAAAAAUCUUCCUCUCUUGAGUAUAAUAUUUCAUUCCCUUAAUCUGGGAAAAAGGAAAACAAUGUAUCACAGUUUCCUGCAUAUGUUUAUUUUAGUUAUUGUUUUCUUUAAGAUUUUGGCCUUCCUAUUUAUUGAAACAUCCAUUGUUAGUCUGUAACUUCUUGUUUUUGGUCCACCAAUAUGUCAGAACUUGACCUGUUAUGUUUCACACCUAAAUUUUUCUUCCCCUCCGAGAAACACUUAUGUGAAACGGGUAUAACACUAUUUUGCUAUGUGCGGUCAAUCAUGGCAUGCCAAGCCUGAUAACUUUUCCAAGUGGGAAUAUGUUUCAUACAAGUUUUUACGCUUCCUGAGGCCCAGUUCAUCCUGUCUUUAGCUGUGACCUAAAUCCCAUAUCAUCUAAAGUUUUUAUAUGGUCAAUAGUCUAGAAAGCCAUUGAUUGACAUGAAGUAAGCCACGAAUUGACUUACUUUUUGUUUUUGGGUAUGAAAUAAGUUCAAGUAGAUUAGCUUGUGGCCAAGUAGGGCUCAACAGAUCAAAAAUAUGUGCCCCAACCCCUACUAUUUUACUUGGAUGCACCAACACAUAAUUUUGUCCAUUCUGAUGUCUAUUUCCAUUGAUGUAACCCUAUAACUCAGACUUCUGCUUGGUUAUCCAUUCUGAUAUCAAUGAGUUUCUGGUUCCAUGGGCUACUUCACUGGAUAGGGUAUAAGCUUUACAUGAAAGUCCCUUCCAAGUUAAGCCCUUUAAUGGUGUUUUACUUCAUUUCCAGCAUGUGGUUGUUAUGGAUAUGAGCUAGUGUUGUACAAGAAAGCAAUGCUCAAGAUCUAGUCCUUGCUUGGAUACCAAAAGAAUGUGAAACAAUGAAGAAUGCUAACUGUUUUGGACCGUCGUGCAUUUUGGUGGUGUUAUUUUCACUCAGACAGAGUUUAAUUGUUGCUGUUUAGAAUUUAUUUGUUUUCUCCAAAUAAUUAGCCCUUGAUUCAAACCAUACGAUCAAGAGGCUUCAAUUGUUGACAACUAAUUACUGAACACUGUCUCUGAUGUCCUAUCACUCGCCUAAAUUGAUUCAAUCAUCAGUUAGCAAUUCCAUCUGUAUAAUAUAAUAUGCCCUGCAUAUUUGCCUCGAUUGCUUCUUCCCAUUGGCUGUUACCUGCUGCAAGAGCACAUAAACUUCCAGGUUAGAUUUUGUUCACUAGUACAAAAUUUGUCUGAGAAAGUAUUUUCAAUGCUGCAGAUAUCUGUUGAUAUUGGAUCGAACCAACUGGAGAACAAAUAUGCUGACUUCACUUUUAAUCCCUUACAUUUUCUUCAGUCUUCCUUCAGUGCUCUUCAACCCCCUAAGGUGAUAAUUUCUCUUAUUGGUGCACAUUUUCUUGUUUGCUUUUCACAUCCUUCUUUUGUUCUCAAUAAUCUCAACUCAUUGACAUUUCUUCAAUAUAAUGCAGAGGAGAGGUUGGAAAAUGGAUUGCUUUUAUUGCUGUUGUACUGAGGCUUUUCUUCCCAAGACAUUUCCCAGGUAUAGGCUCAAGUCACUGCACUGAUUUUUCUCUAUCCUUCUCAAUUCUACAGACUUAAGUUGCUUUGUCCCAAAUAUAUUAGUCUUCACAACCUCAACUUUAUCAAAAAAAAAUUAUAAGCAUUAUGGUUUUUGUAUUAGUCUUCAAAUCAUAGCCUUGUUCUAUGAUCCUAAUUUCAUUGCAGAUUGGCUACAGAUGCCCGGUUCGUUGAUCCUUCUUCUUGUUGUGGCUCCCAACUUUUUCGCGCACACAUUGAAGGACAGCUGGGUUGGUGUCUUGAUAUGUCUUCUCAUUGGUUGUUACCUGCUGCAAGAGCACAUCCGGGCUUCAGGUGGCUUCAGAAAUUCCUUCACACAGAGCCAUGGAAUAUCAAACACUCUAGGAAUUAUCCUUCUCUUAGUCUACCCUGUUUGGGCAUUGGUUCUCCAUUUCAUCUAAGCAUUGUAGUAAACAACAGUUUCUACCAAUUGUUCAUGUGCUGCAACUUGCAAACAGCAUAUCUCCAUCUUCUCUUUAUAAGAAUUGGAUUUCAGUUGCAAUUCUAUCUGUUGAUCAAAUUUUGGUUUCUGCUUCUACUCCAAUUAAUUUGAAUAUGCAACACUGAAAUAUAUGCAGUCCAGAAAAAAGGUCUGAAAUAUAGAAAGGAACAUUAUCUCUCUGUGGACUGUCACUGAGUCUUCAUUUAGUGAAUCAGGAACAUUCAAAGUAAAACAUUUUUGGAAUACCAAAAUCUCUCAAUUGUUAGCUGUUUCUGUCUUCUCCCAAUGAACACCCUUUUGGACAUUGCAUCAUGAAACAUAUUCCCUCCAAUUGAUUAAUGAAAUUGUCAUCGAUGGUUUUGUUAGUACCAUACCAUUGUUUUGGUCUCACGCUUAGCCCCCCUGCUCGUAUAAUGUAACACAAUUUAUAGGGAAUCCAAAUACAAACCCAUGGACAUAGUGAUUUUACAGUUUUACGAGCAUGUGGGCAUUGCAGUUUUAUCAUAAACCUGGUGUUCCUGUGUGAUUUUACAAUUUUAUUAUCGAUCAUUCAAUUUUUGUCAUCAACAAAUUUCAGUCUCAAUUGUAUAUAUACGAAUGCUAGGGGCAUUGCAUAUGUGAAUUAAGUCAGUUAGCUGAAUAUUGUGUAUGAUCUCAUACACUCGAGUUUAAAUCCCCCUCCAUUCAAUUUAGAAUUCCAUUUUGUCAAAAAAAUUGGCAGGCAGUUCAGGUUAAGAAUUUCUCAACAUUUUUUUUGGAUUCAACUUUUGUAUAACCGCAUUCAUAUAAAACCGCCUAAAAAUGUGAUUUUCUUUUUGUUGUUUAUGUAUUUGGGUUUAUAUAUUAUUUGCAGGCAGAGGAUUUACUUGAGGCGCCUAAAAGCGGCAAGGCCCAAAAUUUAUUAGCCCAUACGUACAAGUUUAAACUUCAAAUCUAGGGCCCAUGGUUGCGUUCUGUCAAUGAUGGCAUAUUGGUAAAUUCCAGCACCGCGAAAACCCAAAACCCUAACCCUAAACAGCCUCACUGAGGCCUAUAAAACCAACACACGAAUUGAGUAACGGAGACCAUCGCAAGUCGAAAUCAACCUUCUCCAAGUCGCUCUUCCGUUUUGCUCUGUCUUUUGCUCUGCGUCGUCGCAGUCAUAGGCUAAUCAUUCUGCUUUGAUUUUCCAUUAAUGUUUGCUUUGUUAUUCUCAAAAUAUCUUCCUUCCUUUGUUUUCUCUUUAUUUUGAUUCUGAAAUCUGGGUUUUUGAAGUGUGUGUUGGGGAUUCUCGGUGAUGAACAACAAUGAUGACGAGUCCGAUCCAUUCAUAUAUAAAAUCGUGACGACAAAACGAGGCAUUUGUCUGAGAGAAUAAUGCCCAAUUUACCAUUCUUUUCAAUCUUUCUUCCUUUUUUUUUUUAAAUAAAUAUUUUCUGGGUUUGUUUAGAUUAUUUUGUUUUGACGAUUUAAAGGCAGGCAUGGUGAUGAUGUGUAUCAUCUGAUAUUCAUUUUUGAUGAAUUUACUUACCUCCUACUCAUACUGAAUGCCUGCUCAUCAAAUUCUAAUUUCCCUUCUGAUUAAAGUUUUGAUCUUUUGUUUUCGUGUGAUUUUGAUAUAAAAAGCUUUCGAUUUUCUCUUUGAAAAUAACAAAUUUUUUGUUUUUUCUUUGUGGGAACUGGGUUUCUGGUGUUCCUCAAGUGUAGAGAGAGAAGGAUGAUGUAGCGAUGAUGAUAAACUCAGUAUCACUCUCAUGUGUACAUUGAGGAGCACCGAUGAUUUUGUUUCAAGCACUUUUGAGCUUCUCUCUCUCUCUCUCUCUGUGAUUUUGGUUUUUUGUUUUUCUGAAUCUGUGAUCUGUUAACAAUCAGUACCAAUGCAAUAUGGAUACAAGAAGUUCGGCUGAAUCUGUUUGCAAUUCUGAUCAUGAACUGUUUGCUACUAUAAAAUAAAGUAAAUUAAUUUCAGACCACUUAAGAAUUUAAGCUGAUGAAGCAGGAAUUUAUUGUUGGUCUGAGACUUAACAAAAUAAUUUCAAACAGAGGUUGAAUUUGGAUUCUAAUAUGGCCUGGAUGAAUGAAACUUUAAGAAAUUAAGCUGAAAGUGAAAGAUCCAUUCUUUUGGGAAUGUGAAAAACCCGAAACAAUUGCCAAUGAGGAUUUGUUGAGUUGGUAAGGAUCCCAAUGGGUACCCUCCCCUUCCCCUAAAUUUUUGUUCUUAAAAAUAAGAGACCCCAAACAAUUACUUGUACCAUGAGCUAGAAUGAAGAAGAAUGAAACUGUCUAGAGCAAACUCUGAACUCUAUACAGAAUACAAGUUUACUAUUUGUACGAGCGGAGGAAGAUUUUUGUUACUCAGAAGAGAUCUAUUAAUAGCUACAAUGAAAAGUAUUUGUCAUCAAGGCCUAUUAGCUCAGCUGGUUAGAGCGUCGUGCUAAUAACGCGAAGGUCGCAGGUUCGAGACCUGCAUGGGCCAACUUUUUAACAAUUUUUUGCUUCCUACAUGUGCGUUGCUUUUACUCUUAUAAAAACCUUUCUCGACUCUGAGUUGCGGGUUCGAAACCGGCUGCUUUCAUUUUUUAUCACUUUUCUUUUCUUUUUCUGGUUUUCUGAAUGAUUAAUGUCACAUUCCCCUUCAUUUGUACUAUACUUGCAAAAGUCUACAUUGUAGACAAAAUAAAACAUUGAUAAUAUGUGGAGUAGGAGGGAAAGGAUAUGACCGUGCUCAUCUGACCACCAGUAUCUUUAUCCCAAACAAGAAGUUUGCCACUUGGCAAACAACACAUCUAAACUCAUUACCUUCAUUCAACCAAUGAGAGAGCAAGCCUUAUCCUAUCCAUUAUCCAACUCACUCCAAAGCCCACCAAAUAACUCCCCAAUUGCCACACAAAAACUCUUCCAAAUACUCUGUUUCAAACACAGAGAUCACAUUGGAACUGCAAAACAACACCAACCAUGGCAGCCUCACUCCAAGCAGCUGCUACUCUUAUGCAGCCCACCAAGGUGGGCGCGCCGGCAAGGACCAGCCUUCAGCUCAGGCCCUCCCAGAAUGUCUCCAAGGCCUUUGGCUUGGAACCAUCUGCCUCUGCUAGGCUCACUUGCUCUCUGCAGUCUGAUCUCAAGGACUUUGCUCACAAGUGUGUUGAUGCCUCUAAGAUUGCUGGCUUUGCUCUUGCUACUUCUGCCCUCGUCGUCUCGGUAUGCUGCUUAAUUCCAUUUCACUGCUUGAUUAGUUUCUUACUUCAUGUGCUUACAACUGUAUAAAAGAAGAACAAUGAUGAAUUUUAUUAUCUUUAUUAUGUAUGUGUAUAGGGUAUGAACUUUCUAUGGUUUAGAGGGAUGUAGAUUAGUUUGUGGUACCUGUUGUAUAUACAAAGGUUUCAGAUGUUCUCUGUGGCAUGCUAGAUAUUUGACAAGUUAUGUUGCUAGAAUGACACUCUGAAUGGGACAUCAUUUGGGCAUAAGUCGAUCUGAUAUGAUGAGUUUAGAUUCACCAUUUGAUAACACAAUCAUCGGAUUUUCUAUCGUUGUGCUCGAUGGAUCUCACAUAAACAAUUUAGAUCGACAGUCUGACAACAUAAUGUCACUGUAGUUGUUAGAUUUCAUUUCAAUUCUGGUGGUGAUGAAUGGUGAUUAACAUUUUAUCAUUGUUGGCAACCACUUGUGUUUCCAGGGAGCAGGUGCAGAGGGAGUUCCAAAGAGGCUGACCUUUGAUGAAAUCCAGAGCAAGACAUACUUGGAAGUGAAGGGGACAGGAACUGCAAACCAAUGCCCAACCAUUGAUGGAGGGUUAGAAGCAUUCGCCUUCAAGCCGGGCAAGUACACCGCCAAGAAGUUCUGCCUAGAGCCCACAUCCUUCACUGUCAAGGCAGAGAGUGUGAACAAGAAUGCUCCACCAGAGUUCCAAAACACCAAGCUGAUGACCCGUCUAACCUACACCCUCGAUGAGAUCGAAGGGCCUUUCGAAGUGUCCCCAGAUGGCACUCUCAAGUUUGAGGAGAAAGAUGGGAUUGACUAUGCUGCAGUCACAGUCCAGCUCCCCGGAGGCGAGCGUGUCCCUUUCCUCUUCACCAUCAAACAGCUUGUAGCCUCAGGCAAACCCGAAAACUUUGGAGGGGAGUUUCUAGUACCAUCGUACCGCGGUUCUUCUUUCUUGGACCCAAAGGGUAGAGGAGGCUCCACUGGUUAUGACAAUGCCAUUGCAUUGCCAGCAGGAGGCAGAGGAGAUGAGGAGGAGUUGGCCAAGGAGAACAUCAAGAAUACUGCUUCAUCAAAAGGGAAGAUCACACUGAGUGUGACCAAGAGCAAGCCUGAGAGUGGAGAGUUGAUUGGAGUGUUUGAGAGCAUCCAGCCAUCUGAUACUGAUUUGGGAGCAAAGACUCCAAAGGAUGUCAAAAUCCAGGGAGUCUGGUAUGCUCAGCUUGAUUAAGUAGGCCUCUUAUUAAAUUCCCUGUAUGUAUUGAUGUACUUACUCAUUCUGGGUUUCAGAUUUUGCUAUAAAAGUGAAGGUCUUGCUGAACUUUCUUUGUAACCCAAUUGGCCAUGCACUCAGAUCAUUGAGAUCAUUAUCUUUCUUGUAUAUUAUCAUGCCCUAUUAUUAUGAAAAUCCCUCAAUUAUUCCAAACCUCCACAGCUUCAAUGAUCACAAAUUUGAGCCUGAAAAUUGUGAUCAAAAUUAUUAAUCAAAUGGGAGCAUGAAUAUUUGAGAUGGGUUUGGAUUGGGAUCGUUUCCAUGGAAAAACAAAAAGAAAAAAACUAAACAAAAGCAUGGCCAUUCAAAUAAGGUUCAUCCUGUUCAUGAUCUUUCUUUCACUGUAGCUAAUUUGCUUUCUCAUAUCCUUUUAU